rnacentral:rRNA from 1 species
GACGAACGCUGGCGGCGUGCUUAACACAUGCAAGCCGAACGGUAAGGCCCUUCGGGGUACACGAGUGGCGAACGGGUGAGUAACACGUGGGUGAUCUGCCCCGCACUUCGGGAUAAGCCUGGGAAACUGGGUCUAAUACCGGAUAGGACUCCGGACUGCAUGGUCUGGGGUGGAAAGCUUUUGCGGUGUGGGAUGGGCCCGCGGCCUAUCAGCUUGUUGGUGAGGUGAUGGCCUACCAAGGCGACGACGGGUAGCCGGCCUGAGAGGGUGACCGGCCACACUGGGACUGAGAUACGGCCCAGACUCCUACGGGAGGCAGCAGUGGGCAAUAUUGCACAAUGGGCGCAAGCCUGAUGCAGCGACGCCGCGUGAGGGAUGACGGCCUUCGGGUUGUAAACCUCUUUCAGCAUCGACGAAGCGAAAGUGACGGUAGGUGCAGAAGAAGGACCGGCCAACUACGUGCCAGCCGCCGCAGUAA